AGUCGAUGGGAAAUUGGUUAAUUUUCCAAUACUUCUGUGUAAUGCGAUGAGAGGACGGAGAAGGUUAAGUCAGCCUGGCGUUGGUUGUCCAGGUGGAAGGUUGUAGGCAUGUAUCUUAGGCAAAUCCGGGGUACUCUAUGCUGAGAACUGAUAGCAAGCUGUACUUGUACAGUGAAGUGGCUGAUACCAUGCUUCCAGGAAAAGUCUCUAAGCUUCAGUUACAUAGGAAUCGUACCCGAAACCGACACAGGUGGGCAGGUAGAGUAUACCAAGGCGCUUGAGAGAACUAUGCUGAAGGAACUCGGCAAAUUGCACGCGUAACUUCGGGAUAAG
rnacentral:rRNA from 1 species